CGGGUGGGUAAUACAUCGGAACGUGUCUUCUUGUGGGGGAUAACUGCCCGAAAGGGCAGCUAAUACCGCAUGAGGCCUGAGGGUGAAAGCGGGGGAGUCGCAAGACCUCGCGCUGGAAGAGCGGCCGAUGUCCGAUUAGCUAGUUGGUGAGGUAAAGGCUCACCAAGGCGACGAUCGGUAGCUGGUCUGAGAGGACGACCAGCCACACUGGGACUGAGACACGGCCCAG
rnacentral:rRNA from 1 species